rnacentral:rRNA from 1 species
GAUGAACGCUGGCGGCGUGCCUAAUACAUGCAAGUCGAGCGAACGGACGAGAAGCUUGCUUCUCUGAUGUUAGCGGCGGACGAGUGAGUAACACGUGGAUAACCUACCUAUAAGACUGGGAUAACUUCGGGAAACCGUAGCUAAUACCGGAUAAUAUUUUGAACCGCAUGGUUCAAAAGUGAAAGACGGUCUUGCUGUCACUUAUAGAUGGAUCCGCGCUGCAUUAGCUAGUUGGUAAGGUAACGGCUUACCAAGGCAACGAUGCAUAGCCGACCUGAGAGGGUGAUCGGCCACACUGGAACUGAGACACGGUCCAGACUCCUACGGGAGGCAGCAGUAGGGAAUCUUCCGCAAUGGGCGAAAGCCUGACGGAGCAACGCCGCGUGAGUGAUGAAGGUCUUCGGAUCGUAAAACUCUGUUAUUAGGGAAGAACAUAUGUGUAAGUAACUGUGCACAUCUUGACGGUACCUAAUCAGAAAGCCACGGCUAACUACGU